rnacentral:rRNA from 1 species
AUUGAACGCUGGCGGCAUGCCUUACACAUGCAAGUCGAACGGCAGCACGGGUGCUUGCACCUGGUGGCGAGUGGCGAACGGGUGAGUAAUACAUCGGAACGUACCUUAUCGUGGGGGAUAACGCAGCGAAAGCUGUGCUAAUACCGCAUACGCCCUGAGGGGGAAAGCGGGGGAUCGAAAGACCUCGCGCGAUUAGAGCGGCCGAUGCCUGAUUAGCUUGUUGGUGGGGUAAAAGGCCACCAAGGCGACGAUCAGUAGCUGGUCUGAGAGGACGAUCAGCCAAACUGGGACUGGGACACGGCCCAGACUCCUACGGGAGGCAGCAGUGGGGAAUUUUGGACAAUGGGGGCAACCCUGAUCCAGCAAUGCCGCGUGAGUGAAGAAGGCCUUCGGGUUGUAAAGCUCUUUUGUCAGGGAAGAAACACCGGCUCUAACACAGUCCGGGAAUGACGGUACCUGAAGAAUAAGCACCGGCUAACUACGUGCCAGCCGCCCGCAGUAA